GUCAGCUGUGUAACUACUUCACCAGAAUUGCUCAACAUCUUGUAAAAUUUUGCAACAAAAAAUAAGAAGUUUAAGAUCAGUCAUUGUUGAUAAGUGUUGCAGGAAAGUCAAGAUUAACAGACGAGUGGGAAAUCAAAGACUGGAUGAACGCUGGGGAAACUGACGGAGAGGUGAGCUCUGGAAAGGAGGAAGGAUACUUCCUGUUCCUACUGGAGUGACCCGCAGGUCUGAGGAGGAGUGAGGGAGUGAGAGAGAAGGCGGAGGAAGCGAGAAGGUGGCCAGAUGAGUGGCAGGGAUCCAGAGGGUUCCACCGCUCGCAUUCUCACACCCAGAAUCCUCUCUGGCUACCUGAGCCACAGCAACAUAACGUCACGCAUGCGCCUGCAUUGGCUUGCAAUGGUAUGGUGAUCUAUAUAGCUCAGGGCCUAUUCAGAUGCCUUUGUUAACAGCGCUUUCUUUGUAUUUGUUAGUGCUAUAGGCUUUUAGUCUGGU
ensembl:processed_transcript si:rp71-1h3.1 si:rp71-1h3.1